GGGAUGAUGAGCCAGCAGCAGACUGUAAACAGAGCAAUGAUCUGGUCGAAAACGCCCAGGUCUGAGCCCCCACCCAGGAGCAGAGGCUCGGAGGCCGGAGGCCAUCAGCUUUUCCACCGAGAUGCUUCCAUCACGCCCAGGCCUCCCGUGGGACUGGAAGACUUCCAAGAACCAGUGUCCUGGGACCAAAAGCCUGGAAGGCCUGGCCCUGAGCCAGCAUUUGUAGGGGAGGGACCAGUACCCGGGCAAGGAAGAUGUCCCUCUCCUCCCACAGCAAUGACAGCCCUGCUUGGGGGGCCUACCGCAGUUGCCCAGGAGGGCAGUCCUUCAGCCCCCUGGAGGAUGCAAAGCAAAUCCUGUCGUCCUUAUCUCCACUGCGCAGCUGACCUCAGCCCACUUCCCAGCCCUGCCCCCACCCCCCCAGCCACUGGCUUGGCUCCCACAGCAGCCACGCUCCACUCCUCAGGGGGACGUGGUCACGGCAUCUUUCCGACCACACCCUCUCCUGCCUGCGCGUCCUCCCCUGGAUCCUACCACAGAGCAAAGCUUUUUAAAGAAACGAAACCCACCAGCUUUGGCU